rnacentral:rRNA from 1 species
AUUGAACGCUGGCGGCAGGCCUAACACAUGCAAGUCGAGCGAGCGGCGGACGGGUGAGUAAUGUAUGGGGACUGCCCGAUAGAGGGGGAUAACGACUGGAAACGGUAGCUAAUACCGCAUACUAUCGGAUAACCCAUAUGGGAUUAGCUAGUUGGUGAGGUAAUGGCUCACCAAGGCGAAGAUCCCUAGCUAGUCUGAGAGGAUGAGCAGCCAUACUGGGACUGAGACACGGCCCAGACUCCUACGGAGGCAGCAGUGGGGAAUAUUGCGCAAUGGGCGAAAGCCUGAUGCAGCCAUGCCGCGUGUAUGAAGAAGGCCCUCGGGUUGUAAAGUCCUUUCGUUCGGGAGGCGUUACCGACAGAAGAAGCACCGGCUAACUACGUGCCAGCAGCCGCGGUAAUUC